rnacentral:rRNA from 1 species
UUCCAGUACCUUGCAAACACGUUAUCAUCUAUAUGAUUUGCUUCUAGAUAGGGAAUGUAGAACCAUCGUUUUAUCUAACUGCUCAAGAUUCGGGGAGUGUCGUAAUGACGAGAACUGAUUCGAGGCAGGAAUGGCUUUGCGUUAGCAGAGUUUUCCCAAAUCCAGGAGACCUUGAAAGCUCGUAUAGAAAGUGUUUGUGAUGAUCGUACCGAGAACCGACACAGGUGCGCUGGCUUAGAAAGCUAAGGUGCUACGGGUAUACCGUAUGGCGAGGGAAUUCGGCAAAUUAGUCCUGUAGCUUCGGUAUAAGGGAUGCCUGCUGUUUUAAUGAGGAAUUGGGACAGCAGGUUGCAAUGACUAGGGGGUUCCGACUGUUUAAUAAAAACACAGGUGACUGCUAGUCCGAAAGGAUUUGUAUAGUCACUGAAUCCUGGCCGGUGCAGGUACCUAAAACUUGGGUUCAACCGAGCUAAGGGCCUGUUAACGCCGGGAGUAACUCUGACUCUCUUAAGGUAGCCAAAUGCCUUGUCGGGUAAGUUCCGACGCGCAUGAAUGGAACAACGAGAGCCCCACUGUCCCCGCCUACAACCCGGUGAAGCCACAUAAGGUGGACGAACAGUCCAUCAUCUUCCAUCGGGGAGAGAAGACCCCGUGGAGUUUUACUGCAGCUUGUGCUUGUAGUAUAGUAAGGAUUACAUAGUGUAUCUGGUAGCCAUGCCUGAAUUUCUUUGGGAAUUCAGUGAAGCGACGAUGUAACACCAGAUUAUUCUUGCAGUACUUCUUAUCUGAUGCAAAUCAGAAACAGGUGCUGGUAGGCAGUUCGGCUGGGGCGGCACCCCUUUGAAAAGAUAUCAAAGGGGCCCAAAGUUUAGUUCAAACGGGUCAGAAAUCCGUUGAAGAGGGCAAAGCCAAAAACUAGACUGACAGGAUUUCCAAACGCACGGAAUUCUGAGACGAAAGUCUGGCUUAGCGAUCCUUCGUGUGCCCACUAUUGGGGCCCGGAGGUGACAGAAAAAUUACCCCAGGGAUAACAGGCUCGUCGCGGGCGAGAGCUCCUAUCGACCCCGCGGUUUGGUACCUCGAUGUCGGCUUUUCCUAUCCUGGUCCUGCAGCAGGGGCCAAGGGUGAGGCUGCUCGCCUAUUAAAAGGGAACAUGAGCUGGGUUUAGACCGUCGUGAGACAGGUCGGUCUCUGCCUGAUGGAAGCGCGGCUGUCUGAGGGGAAGUUGCUCUCAGUACGAGAGGAACAGAGCAACGUGGCCACUGGUCUACCGGUUGUCUGAUAAGGCAGGCCGGGCAGCUAAGCCAUUUGGAGUAAGUGCUGAAAGCAUCUAAGCACGAAAUCCAUCCCGAGACAAGACAGCCUUUCGUAAGAUGAAGGUUCGCAGAAGAAGACUGCGUUGAUAGGAUGGAUGUGUAGAUCACAAGCUUCGGCGAGUGAUGAGCAUGCCAUUACUAAUAGAC